rnacentral:rRNA from 1 species
CAGCACCUCAAGUGGUCAGGACGAUUAUUGGGUCUAAAGGGUCCGUAGCCGGUUUGAUCAGUCUUUUGGGAAAUCUGACAGCUUAACUGUUAGGCUUCCAAAGGAUACUGUCAGACUUGGGACCGGGAGAGGUAAGAGGUACUACAGGGGUAGGAGUGAAAUCUUGUAAUCCCUGUGGGACCACCAGUGGCGAAGGCGUCUUACCAGAACGGGUCCGACGGUGAGGGACGAAAGCUGGGGGCACGAACCGGAUUAGAUACCCGAGUAGUCC